GGGCCCGCACAAGCAGUGGAGCAUGUGGUUUAAUUCGAUGCAACGCGAAGAACCUUACCUACUCUUGACAUCCAUAGAACUUUCCAGAGAUAGAUUGGUGCCUUCGGGAACCGAGUGACAGGUGCUGCAUGGCUGUCGUCAGCUCGUGUCGUGAGAUGUUGGUUAAGUCCCGUAACGAGCGCAACCCUUGUCCUUAGUUGCCAGCACAUUAUGGUGGGAACUCUAAGGAGACUGCCGGUGACAAAUCGGAGGAAGGUGGGGACGACGUCAAGUCAUCAUGGCCCUUACGUGUAGGGCUACACACGUGCUACAAUGGCCGGUACAAACGGUUGCGAACCCGCGAGGGAAGCUAA
rnacentral:rRNA from 1 species